rnacentral:rRNA from 1 species
CGUAGGGUCCGAGCGUUGUCCGGAAUUAUUGGGCGUAAAGGGCUUGUAGGCGGUUUGUCGCGUCGGAAGUGAAAACUCAGGGCUUAACCCUGAAGCCUGCUUCCGAUACGGGCAAACUAGAGGAAUGCAGGGGAGAAUGGAAUUCCUGGUGGAGCGGUGGAAUGCGCAGAUAUCAGGAGGAACACCAGUGGCGAAGGCGGUUCUCUGGGCCAGUUUCCUGGACGCUGAGAAGCGAAAGCGUGGGGAGCAAACAGGCUU